AGUGGGAGCCUCUUUUAUGGGGUGACUGCGUACCUUUUGUAUAAUGGGUCAGCGACUUAUAUUCUGUAGCAAGGUUAACCGAAUAGGGGAGCCGAAGGGAAACCGAGUCUUAACUGGGCGUUAAGUUGCAGGGUAUAGACCCGAAACCCGGUGAUCUAGCCAUGGGCAGGUUGAAGGUUGGGUAACACUAACUGGAGGACCGAACCGACUAAUGUUGAAAAAUUAGCGGAUGACUUGUGGCUGGGGGUGAAAGGCCAAUCAAACCGGGAGAUAGCUGGUUCUCCCCGAAAGCU
rnacentral:rRNA from 1 species